rnacentral:rRNA from 1 species
UACGGGGGGAGCAAGCGUUGUUCGGAUUUACUGGGCGUAAAGGGCGCGUAGGCGGCGCAACAAGUCACUUGUGAAAUCUCCGGGCUUAACCCGGAGCGGCCAAGUGAUACUGUCGUGCUAGAGUGCGGAAGGGGCUACUGGAAUUCUCGGUGUAGCGUGAAAUGCGUAGAUAUCGAGAGGAACACCUGCGGCGAAGGCGGGGUAGCUGGGCCGAC